GUAGAUUCGUCUUUUGUCCUUGUCUACAAAU
rnacentral:sRNA from 1 species